rnacentral:rRNA from 1 species
AUUGAACGCUGGCGGCAUGCCUUACACAUGCAAGUCGAACGGCAGCACGGGAGCAAUCCUGGUGGCGAGUGGCGAACGGGUGAGUAAUAUAUCGGAACGUGCCCAGUCGUGGGGGAUAACGUAGCGAAAGCUACGCUAAUACCGCAUACGAUCUAUGGAUGAAAGCGGGGGAUCGCAAGACCUCGCGCGAUUGGAUCGGCCGAUAUCAGAUUAGGUAGUUGGUGAGGUAAAGGCUCACCAAGCCGACGAUCUGUAGCUGGUCCGAGAGGACGACCAGCCACACGGGGACGGAGAAACGGUCGAGACUCCUACGGAGGGCAGCAGGGGGGAAUUUUGGACAAUGGGCGCAAGCCUGAACCAGCAAUGCCGCGUGCAGGAUGGAGGGCUGCGGGUUGUAAACUGCUUUUGUACGGAACGAAACGGCGAGCUCUAAUACAGUGUGUUAAUGACGGUACCGUAAGAAUAAGCACCGGCUAACUACGUGCCAGCCGCCGCGGUAA